rnacentral:rRNA from 1 species
UACGUAGGGUGCAAGCGUUGUCCGGAAUUAUUGGGCGUAAAGAGCUCGUAGGCGGUUCGUCGCGUCGGCUGUGAAAUCCCGAGGCUCAACCUCGGGUCUGCAGUCGAUACGGGCGGACUGGAGUUCGGCAGGGGAGACUGGAAUUCCUGGUGUAGCGGUGAAAUGCGCAGAUAUCAGGAGGAACACCGGUGGCGAAGGCGGGUCUCUGGCGCAUACUGACGCUGAGGAGCGAAAGCGUGGGGAGCGAACAGG